rnacentral:rRNA from 1 species
UACAGAGGGGGCAAGCGUUAUUCGGAAUUAUUGGGCGUAAAGGGCGCGUAGGCGGCUUUGCAAGUGACGGGUGAAAUCCCUCGGCUUAACCGAGGAACUGCCUGUCAAACUGCAUGGCUUGAGACCGGGAGAGGUGAGUGGAAUUCCCAGUGUAGCGGUGAAAUGCGUAGAUAUUGGGAGGAACACCAGUGGCGAAGGCGGCUCACUGGACCGGUACUGACGCUGAGGCGCGAAAUCGUGGGGAGCAAACAGG